UCAGAUUAUAGCGCGGCCGGGACGGCUCAACACACUCAAGAUCUAGCGUGAGAGUGGGGAGAAGCCUGCUUUUCUCGGCCGACGAGCGGCGGACGGGUGAGUAAUGUCUGGGGAUCUGCCUGAUGGAGGGGGAUAACUACUGGAAACGGUAGCUAAUACCGCAUAACGUCGCAAGACCAAAGUGGGGGACCUUCGGGCCUCAUGCCAUCAGAUGAACCCAGAUGGGAUUAGCUAGUAGGUGAGGUAAUGGCUCACCUAGGCGACGAUCCCUAGCUGGUCUGAGAGGAUGACCAGCCACACUGGAACUGAGACACGGUCCAGACUCCUACGGGAGGCAGCAGUGGGGAAUAUUGCACAAUGGGCGCAAGCCUGAUGCAGCCAUGCCGCGUGUAUGAAGAAGGCCUUCGGGUUGUAAAGUACUUUCAGUAGGGAGGAAGGUGUGCGUGUUAAUAGCACGUGCAAUUGACGUUACCUACAGAAGAAGCACCGGCUAACUCCGUGCCAGCAGCCGCGGUAAUACGGAGGGUGCAAGCGUUAAUCGGAAUUACUGGGCGUAAAGCGCACGCAGGCGGUUUGUUAAGUUGGAUGUGAAAUCCCCGGGCUUAACCUGGGAACUGCAUCCAAGACUGGCAAGCUAGAGUCUCGUAGAGGGAGGUAGAAUUCCAGGUGUAGCGGUGAAAUGCGUAGAGAUCUGGAGGAAUACCGGUGGCGAAGGCGGCCUCCUGGACGAAGACUGACGCUCAGGUGCGAAAGCGUGGGGAGCAAACAGGAGUAGAUACCCUGGUAGUCCACGCUGUAAACGAUGUCGAUAGGGAGGUUGUGCCCUUGAGGCGUGGCUUCCGAAGCU
rnacentral:rRNA from 1 species